rnacentral:rRNA from 1 species
GACGAACGCUGGCGGCGUGCUUAACACAUGCAAGUCGAACGGUGAAGCGCCUUCCUUUUUGGUGGGUGUGGAUGAGUGGCGAACGGGUGAGUAACACGUGAGUAACCUGCCCCCUUCUUCUGGAUAACCGCAUGAAAGUGUGGCUAAUACGGGAUAUUCUGGGUCUGUCGCAUGAUGGGUCUGGGAAAGAUAUUGUUUCGGUGGGGGAUGGGCUCGCGGCCUAUCAGCUUGUUGGUGGGGUGAUGGCCUACCAAGGCGGUGACGGGUAGCCGGCCUGAGAGGGUGGACGGUCACAAUGGGACUGAGACACGGCCCAGACUCCUACGGGAGGCAGCAGUGGGGAAUAUUGCACAAUGGGCGCAAGCCUGAUGCAGCGAAGCCGCGUGAGGGAUGGAGGCCUUCGGGUUGUGAACCUCUUUCGCCAGUGAAGCAGGCCUGCCUCGUUUGUGGGUGGGUUGACGGUAGCUGGAUAAGAAGCGCCGGCUAACUACGUG